GUUGUGCCCUUGAGGCGUGGCUUCCGGAGCUAACGCGUUAAGUCGACCGCCUGGGGAGUACGGCCGCAAGGUUAAAACUCAAAUGAAUUGACGGGGGCCCGCACAAGCGGUGGAGCAUGUGGUUUAAUUCGAUGCAACGCGAAGAACCUUACCUGGUCUUGACAUCCACAGAACUUUCCAGAGAUGGAUUGGUGCCUUCGGGAACUGUGAGACAGGUGCUGCAUGGCUGUCGUCAGCUCGUGUUGUGAAAUGUUGGGUUAAGUCCCGCAACGAGCGCAACCCUUAUCCUUUGUUGCCAGCGGUCCGGCCGGGAACUCAAAGGAGACUGCCAGUGAUAAACUGGAGGAAGGUGGGGAUGACGUCA
rnacentral:rRNA from 1 species